rnacentral:rRNA from 1 species
UACGUAGGGUGCGAGCGUUGUCCGGAAUUAUUGGGCGUAAAGAGCUUGUAGGCGGUUUGUCGCGUCUGCUGUGAAAAUCCGGGGCGUCAACCCCGGACUUGCAGUGGGGUACGGGCAGACUAGAGUGUGGUAGGGGAGCUGGAAUUCCUGGUGUAGCGGUGGAAUGCGCAGAUAUCAGGAAGAACACCCGUGGCGAAGGCGGCUCUCUGGAACGCAACUGACGCUGAGACGCGAAAAGCGUGGGGGAGCAAAACAGGG